rnacentral:rRNA from 1 species
CGAAGGGGGCGGAGCGUUGUUCGGAAUCACUGGGCGGUAAAGCGUGCGUAGGCGGCGAUGAAAGUUAGAAGUGAAAGCCCAGGGCUCAACCUUGGAAUUGCUUUUAAUACUACAUCGCUCGAAUCUCGGAGAGGAUAGCGGAAUUGUCAGUGUAGCAGUGAAAUGCGUAGAUAUUGACAGGAACACCAGUGGCGUAAGCGGCUAUCUGGACGAGUAUUGACGCUGAGGCACGAAAGCGUGGGGAUCAAACAGGAUUAGAUACCCUGGUAGUCCACGCCGUAAACGAUGUGUGUUUGUCGCUGGGAGGUUUACCUUUCGGUGACGGAGCUAACGCGUUAAACACACCGCCUGGGAAGUACGGUCGCAAGAUUA